AACGGGUGAGUAAUACAUCGGAACGUGCCCUGUAGUGGGGGAGUAACUAGUCGAAAGAUUAGCUAAUACCGCAUACGACCUGAGGGUGAAAGUGGGGGACCGCAAGGCCUCAUGCUAUAGGAGCGGCCGAUGUCUGAUUAGCUAGUUGGUGGGGUAAAGGCCUACCAAGGCGACGAUCAGUAGCUGGUCUGAGAGGACGAUCAGCCACACUGGGACUGAGACACGGCCCAGACUCCUACGGGAGGCAGCAGAC
rnacentral:rRNA from 1 species